AUUGAACGCUGGCGGCAUGCCUUACACAUGCAAGUCGAACGGUAACAGGUCUUCGGAUGCUGACGAGUGGCGAACGGGUGAGUAAUACAUCGGAACGUGCCCAGACGUGGGGGAUAACGAGGCGAAAGCUUUGCUAAUACCGCAUACGAUCUAAGGAUGUACGCAGGGGAGCGCAAGGCCUUGCGGGUUGGGAGCGGCUGAUGGCUGAUAAGGUGGUUGGUGGGAUAGUGGCUUACCAAGCCGAUGAUGUGUAGCCGGCCUGAGAGGGCGACCGGACACAUGGGGACUGAGAUAAGGACCAGACUCAUAAGGGAGGCAGCAGUGGGGAAUAUUGCACAAUGGGAGGAAGCCUGAUGCAGCAACGCCGCGUGCGGGAUGAAGGACUUAGGGUUGUAAACAGCUUUCGCCUGUGAUGAAGCGUGAGUGACGGUAAUGGGUAAAGAAGCACCGGCUAACUACGUG
rnacentral:rRNA from 1 species